UUUUACUUACAGACUUACUCAGAACUUUAUUUAAAAUAUAAUAAGCCGAUUCGAGUGCAUAUCCCUAAAAAGAGAUUGACAGACUUGCAAAGCCCAUCAUGGAUCGAACCAUAUCUAACAGGAUUCGAUUCCUCCUUUUCGAUACAAGAGGGAUCCAUUGCAAGAGAAUCUCAUUCUCUUUUAAGUAUGUCAGAAACUCACUAGAGAGGUAUUCUCCUCC
rnacentral:lncRNA from 1 species